rnacentral:tRNA from 2 species
GGUAAGGUGGCUGAAUGUAGAAGUGGUGGGUUGUAGCCCCAUUAACGGAGGUUUAAUUCCUUCUCUUAUCA